GGGGUUGUGGCUCAGCAGUAGAGUGCUUGCCUAGCACGUGUGAGGCCCUGGGUUUGAUCCUCAGCACCACCC
rnacentral:tRNA from 1 species